AUACGUAGGUGGCGAGUGUUAUCCGGAUUUACUGGGCGUAAAGGGAGCGUAGGCGGAUGAUUAAGUGGGAUGUGAAAUACCCGGGCUCAACUUGGGUGCUGCAUUCCAAACUGGUUAUCUAGAGUGCAGGAGAGGAGAGUGGAAUUCCUAGUGUAGCGGUGAAAUGCGUAGAGAUUAGGAAGAACACCAGUGGCGAAGGCGACUCUCUGGACUGUAACUGACGCUGAGGCUCGAAAGCGUGGGGAGC
rnacentral:rRNA from 1 species